rnacentral:lncRNA from 1 species
UUUGUCUUCUCAUUGUGUUCUUAGCACGUCUCUCCCACAGUUCGAUGCUUUUUUAAUUAAUUGCAAAAUACAAAGCAGAAGCAAAAACAAAUUUUUGCGAAAUCAACCGCAUUUAUUUCAGACAUUUUGUGCAAAUUGUUGUGUUUUUGGUACGAAAGUGCAUAAUUUAUUGUGUAAGCAACGAGUAAAUUCUUUUUGUGGUCGGAAAAUCAGUCGCGAAAACACGCAAAUGUUGAAAAUCCACAAAAAUCAAACCGAAAUUGUAUAACAAAGCAGAAGUUGUAGAAAGCAAAAUUUGCGUUCGCAAGUAUUUUUGUAAUGAAAAUUUUCACCAACAUUGCGUGAAGGCUGCAAUAGUUUGAAAGGUUGAGAAAAAAAACAAAAAAAUAAAAUAUUAAAAGAAACAAUAACAAUUAUAUGUGCUCAAAAUACCGUAAUUACAUAGUAUUUUUAACAUGCAGGUAAUGUUUUAAAACUACGAAAUCUACAAUAAAUAAAUACAGCAAUGCAGUAGCAUAAGCGCUAAUAGUGUACUAAGAAUUAAUGGGCGUAAAAACCGGAACCGCAGACUGUUUCGUGUGCCUUUCGUAAGUGGAUUGAGUGAAAUUUUCCAAUAAAACACAAAAAAAUAAAA